AAUUAUGUGGAUGUUUUGUGUUUAGUAGUUUACCGACACGUAUUGUCAGUAUACUCGAUUUGACUUGCGCCGGAGCUGAACCUUGCCUUCUCAUACAUCAAAGUCUGGAUCAUGAGUCCAUUUUGAGUAUUCUUUUCGCGCCGCUGGAUAUUGCGUGGCCAGAAUGCUCGUCUGUUCCAGCAACAGCUACUAUCGAUUCACAUGGGGAAUGAGAGGAUGGCAGUGGCUCAUCUGCAAGUGGCGCUUGAGGUGAAUCUUGCUUUCAGAGUCCUCCAU
rnacentral:lncRNA from 1 species